UACGUAGGGGGCGAGCGUUGUCCGGACUUAUUGGGCGUAAAGAGCUCGUAGGCGGUUUGGCAAGUCGGGUGUGAAAACUCCGGGCUCAACUCGGAGACGCCACUCGAUACUGCCAUGACUUGAGUCCGGUAGGGGAGUGCGGAAUUCCUGGUGUAGCGGUGAAAUGCGCAGAUAUCAGGAGGAACACCGGUGGCGAAGGCGGCACUCUGGGCCGGUACUGACGCUGAGGGAGCGAAAGCGUGGGGAGCGAACAGG
rnacentral:rRNA from 1 species